UUGAGGGUGUGCGGCCAGGUACCGGGUUCGGGGGCGGCCAGGGCGUCGUCACCGGUGAAGUCGCCGUCGGCGAGGGUGCCGAGCUCCGCGGCCUCGUCGUAGGCGGCGGGGCCGAGCUUCCUGAUCUUGCCGUGGGCGAUCAGCAGGAUCUCCUCGACCGGCCGGCCGAGGGCGGCGAUGACGUCGCCCGGCCCGUACUCGCGCUGUUCGCAGUGGCCGGCGAGGGUGGUGAGCAGUUCGUGGUCGGUGAUGCCGUGCAGCGCGGGCAGUUCGGUGAGCUGGGCCGGGAUGACCCGGACCUGCGCGCCGGAGCUGACGAAUUCCACCCGGCCGUUCCCGACUGUGUGGGUGAGCCGCCGGUUGACGCGGAAGGUGCCGGCCGAGACCUGCACCCAGGGCAGGAUUUUCAGCAGCCACCGCGAGGAGAUUCCCUGCAUCUGCGGGGGCGUCUUGGUGGUGCUGGCGAGAUUCCGCGCGGCAGCGGUGUCGAGGCUG
rnacentral:antisense_RNA from 1 species